ensembl:miRNA mdo-mir-12335-2 mdo-mir-12335-2
UUCAAAGCCAGCAUAACCCAUAACUGGAGCCAUUUCGCCAGUUAUGGGUUAUGCUGGCUUUGA